GGGGUUGUGACUCAGUGGUAGAGAGCCUGUCUAGUGCAUGUGAGGCACUGGGUUUGAUCCUCAGCAACACAU
rnacentral:tRNA from 1 species